rnacentral:misc_RNA from 1 species
GAUGAAGAACUCAGCGAAAUGCGAUACGUAGUGUGAAUUGCAGAAUUCAGUGAAUCAUCGAAUCUUUGAACGCACAUUGCACCUCUCGGUAUUCCGGGAGGUAUGCCUGUUCGAGCGUCAUUUGUACCCUCAAGCUCUGCUUGGUGUUGGGUGUUUGUUCCGCCUCUGUGUGUGAACUCGCCUCAAAACAAUUGGCAGCCGGCGUACUUGUUUCGGAGCGCAGCACAUUUUGCGAUCCAGAUCAACGUACAGCGGCAUCCAAGAAGCCUUAUUUAACGCUCUUGACCUCGGAUCAGGUAGGGAUACCCGCUGAACUUAAGCAUAUCAAUAAGCGGAGGA